UACGAAGGGGGCGAGCGUUGUUCGGAUUUACUGGGCGUAAAGGGCGCGCAGGCGGCUCGUUUUGUCAGGCGUGAAAGCCCCGGGCUUAACCUGGGAACUGCGUUUGAUACGGGCGGGCUAGAGUUCGGGAGAGGAGAGUGGAAUUCCCAGUGUAGAGGUGAAAUUCGUAGAUAUUGGGAAGAACACCGGUGGCGAAGGCGGCUCUCUGGACCGAGACUGACGCUGAGGCGCGAAAGCGUGGGGAGCAAACAGG
rnacentral:rRNA from 1 species